rnacentral:misc_RNA from 1 species
GAUGAAGAACGUAGCGAAAUGCGAUAAGUAAUGUGAAUUGCAGAAUUCAGUGAAUCAUCGAAUCUUUGAACGCACCUUGCGCUCCUUGGUAUUCCGAGGAGCAUGCCUGUUUGAGUGUCAUUAAUUUCUCAACCUCACCAGCUUUUGCUGAGUGCAGGCUUGGAUGUGGGGGUUGCAGGUCCGCUAACGUGGUCUGCUCCUCUGAAAUGUAUUAGUGGGUUGGGCCCCUAAUCUAUUGGUGUGAUAAUUAUCUACGCCGUGGAUUUGGGUGGCUGACUUAGACCCGCUUCUAACCGUCCUUCACCGGACAACUCUUGACAAUUUUGACCUCAAAUCAGGUAAGACUACCCGCUGAACUUAAGCAUAUCAAUAAGCGGAGGA